AGUGAACGCUGGCGGUAGGCCUAACACAUGCAAGUCGAACGGCAGCACAGUAAGAGCUUGCUCUUACGGGUGGCGAGUGGCGGACGGGUGAGGAAUACAUCGGCAUCUACUUUUUCGUGGGGGAUAACGUAGGGAAACUUACGCUAAUACAGCAUACGACCUACGGGUGAAAGCAGGGGAUCUUCGGACCUUGCGCGAUUGAAUGAGCCGAUGUCGGAUUAGCUAGUUGGCGGGGUAAAGGCCCACCAAGUCGACGAACCGUAGCUGCACUGAGAGGAUGAUCAGCCACACUGGAACCGAGACACGGUCCAGACUCCUACGGGAGGCAGCAGUGGGGAAUAUUGGACAAUGGGCGCAAGCGUGAACCAGCCAUACCGCGUGGGUGAAGAAGGCCUUCGGGUUGUAAAGCCCUUUUGUUGGGAAAGAAAAGCAGCAGAAGAAUACACCGCCGUCCUGACGGUACCCAAAGAAUAAGCACCGGCUAACUUCGUG
rnacentral:rRNA from 1 species